rnacentral:rRNA from 1 species
CUACCGUGAAUACGUUCCCGGGUCUUGUACACACCGCCCGUCAAACCAUGAAAGUCGCCAAUACCUGAAGCGUCCAACUAGUUUGGUUCUAAGGUAGGGGAGAUGAUUGGGGUU